rnacentral:rRNA from 1 species
UGGGGAGCUCUCCCAUAUGGUCGACCUGCAGGCGGCCGCGAAUUCACUAGUGAUUCGUAUUACCGCGGCUGCUGGCACAGAGUUAGCCGGUGCUUAUUCUGUCGGUAACGUCAAAACAGCAAAGUAUUAAUUUACUGCCCUUCCUCCCAACUUAAAGUGCUUUACAAUCCGAAGACCUUCUUCACACACGCGGCAUGGCUGGAUCAGGCUUUCGCCCAUUGUCCAAUAUUCCCCACUGCUGCCUCCCGUAGGAGUCUGGACCGUGUCUCAGUUCCAGUGUGACUGAUCAUCCUCUCAGACCAGUUACGGAUCGUCGCCUUGGUGAGCCAUUACCCCACCAACUAGCUAAUCCGACCUAGGCUCAUCUGAUAGCGCAAGGCCCGAAGGUCCCCUGCUUUCUCCCGUAGGACGUAUGCGGUAUUAGCGUCCGUUUCCGAACGUUAUCCCCCACUACCAGGCAGAUUCCUAGGCAUUACUCACCCGUCCGCCGCUCUCAAGAGAAGCAAGCUUCUCUCUACCGCUCGACUUGCAUGUGUUAGGCCUGCCGCCAGCGUUCAAUCUGAGCCAUGAUCAAACUCUAAUCGAAUUCCCGCGGCCGCCAUGGCGGCCGGGAGCAUGCGAC